UACGGAAGAUGCAAGCGUUAUCCGGAUUCAUUGGGUUUAAAGGGUGCGUAGGCGGGCUAUUAAGUCAGCGGUGAAAUUUUGCAGCUUAACUGUAACAGUGCCGUUGAUACUGUUUGGCUAGGAUUUGGUUGUAGUGUGCGGAAUGUGUGGUGUAGCGGUGAAAUGCUUAGAUAUCACACAGAACACCGAUUGCGAAGGCAGCUCACAAAGCCAAGAUUGACGCUGAGGCACGAAAGUGUGGGGAUCAAACAGGAUUA
rnacentral:rRNA from 1 species